GUCGAAAGGCGGUUAGAGAGCACUAGGGUCAAUCAUAUCCAAAAUUCAUAACAAUAAAGACUUCGGAUGUAAUGCCUUCGAAAAACUGUAUUACUCGUGUGUAGUUCAUAUCUUAGAUUAUGCCUCAAGUGUUUAGGGAUACAGAAAAUUUCAAAUAAUAUACAAUAUUCAAAUCCGUACAAUACGAUAUUUUCUUGGUGUUCAUCGUUUUGCGCCUACUCUCGCUCUACAUGGAAAUGUUUGAUGGAUCCCAAGC
rnacentral:lncRNA from 1 species